ACAUAGCCCCGAUGGGAACGGCAUCCUUUUUCUCGGUGGCUAGGGCUGAGCUUUGGCACCGAGAAAAAGAUAUAGUGGACAGCGGGUUGGAAA
rnacentral:sRNA from 1 species